CAGCAGCCGCGGUAAUACAGAGGGUGCGAGCGUUAAUCGGAUUUACUGGUCGUAAAGCGUGCGUAGGCGGCUUUUUAAGUCGGAUGUGAAAUCCCUGAGCUUAACUUAGGAAUUGCAUUCGAUACUGGGAAGCUAGAGUAUGGGAGAGGAUGGUAGAAUUCCAGGUGUAGCGGUGAAAUGCGUAGAGAUCUGGAGGAAUACCGAUGGCGAAGGCAGCCAUCUGGCCUAAUACUGACGCUGAGGUACGAAAGCAUGGGGAGCAAACAGGAUUAGAUACCCCUGUAGUCCCUGUCUCUUAUAC
rnacentral:rRNA from 1 species